AUUUUUCUGGAAACAAUGACUAAUACAGCUUUUUCUGUGGAGGAUUUGAUGUACAUCCAGGCUGCCUGCAUGAAUCAGUGCUGAGAAUCAACGAACUGCGAGUAUUUCCUUUUCACUCCUGGAGCUCUCUGUUUUAGCUUCUGGUCUGGAAUAACCCAAUUUGCUACCUCUUGUAUCCUUUACAUAACUGCAGCUGCUGAGAAACGAUCAGGGGAGACGACACCAUAGGUCUUCUGAUGUUUGCACGGAUUUCACCUUCACCUGUCACCACCGAAAGACCUCGCAGGUGUCACCUGAACUCAGUUUUCAGUCUGAUUCAAGGGUUGCUUGUCUAGUGGGGUUGCACUGUGUAACAUCGUGAGCACCAAAUCAAAAAAGAAGGCGCGAAAGGACAUGUGAACCACUCUCGUAAUAUCAUCUCAAGAUGACUAAAGGAAGUAAAGAAGCCAGAAAUUAGGAGCUCCGUGCUGAGUUCUCAUGGGCUUAAAUGGUUUAGGAUUGGAGCUGAUAUAAGAAGAGGAUGCUAAUUGCCAGGCUAAAGUCCUCCCUGAUCCAAGGCUGUUCCAUCAGCACUGUAUUUUAUCAGAUUAGCGCAAGCAGGCAAAGUACAAGAAGUAACACCAAAUGAA